rnacentral:rRNA from 1 species
ACGAACGCUGGCGGCGCGCCUAACACAUGCAAGUCGAACGAGCGAGAGAGAGCUUGCUUUCUCGAGCGAGUGGCGAACGGGUGAGUAACGCGUGAGGAACCUGCCUCAAAGAGGGGGACAACAGUUGGAAACGACUGCUAAUACCGCAUAAGCCCACGGUGCCGCAUGGCACAGAGGGAAAAGGAGCAAUCCGCUUUGAGAUGGCCUCGCGUCUGAUUAGCUAGUUGGUGAGGUAAUGGCCCACCAAGGCGACGAUCGGUAGCCGGACUGAGAGGUUGAACGGCCACAUUGGGACUGAGACACGGCCCAGACUCCUACGGGAGGCAGCAGUGGGGAAUAUUGCACAAUGGGGGAAACCCUGAUGCAGCGACGCCGCGUGGAGGAAGAAGGUCUUCGGAUUGUAAACUCCUGUUGUUGGGGAAGAUAAUGACGGUACCCAACAAGGAAGUGACGGCUAACUACGUG